rnacentral:rRNA from 1 species
GACGAACGCUGGCGGCGUGCUUAACACAUGCAAGUCGAACGGAAAGGCCCCUUUGGGGGUACUCGAGUGGCGAACGGGUGAGUAACACGUGAGUAACCUGCCCUUGCCUUCGGGAUAACUUCAGGAAACUGGGGCUAAUACCGGUUAGGAAUCCUUUCUUCAUGCUGGUGGUUGGAAAGCUUCGGCGGUUUUGGAUGGGCUAGCUGCGUAUAAGCUUGUUGGUGGGGUUGUGGCUUACCAAGGCUUCUUGGGGUAGCCGCCCUGAGAGGGCGACCGGCCACAUUGGGACUGAGGUGCGGCCCAGACUCCUACGGGAGGCAGCAGUGGGGAAUAUUGCACAAUGGGCGGAAGCCUGAUGCAGCAACGCCGCGUGCGGGAUGACGGCCUUCGGGUUGUAAACCGCUUUCAGCAGGGGCGAAGCUUGUGGUGACGGUACCUGCAGAAGAAGCACCGGCUAACUACGUG